rnacentral:rRNA from 1 species
UAAGAUCCGUAGUCGAAAGGGAAACAGCCCAGACCACCAGCUAAGGUCCCAAAAUAAUUGUUAAGUGGAAAAGGAUGUGGGGUUGCACAGACAACUAGGAUGUUAGCUUAGAAGCAGCUAUUCAUUCAAAGAGUGCGUAAUAGCUCACUAGUCGAGUGACCCUGCGCCGAAAAUGUACCGGGGCUAAAACAAUUUACCGAAGCUGUGGAUACCUUUAUAGGUAUGGUAGGAGAGCGUUCUAUGUGUGAUGAAGGUAUACCGUGAGGAGUGCUGGAACGCAUAGAAGUGAGAAUGCCGGUAUGAGUAGCGAAAGACAGGUGAGAAUCCUGUCCACCGUAAGACUAAGGUUUCCAGGGGAAGGCUCGUCCGCCCUGGGUUAGUCGGGACCUAAGGAGAGACCGAAAGGUGUAUCCGAUGGACAACAGGUUGAUAUUCCUGUACUAGAGUAUGUAGUGAUGGAGGGACGCAGUAGGCUAACUAAAGCAGACGAAUGGAAGAGUCUGUCUAAGCAGUGAGGUGUGAAUUGAGUCAAAUGCUUAGUUCUAUAACAUUGAGCUGUGAUGGGGAGCGAAGUUUAGUAGCGAAGUUAGUGACGUCACACUGCCAAGAAAAGCUUCUAGCGUUUAAACAUACUCUACCCGUACCGCAAACCGACACAGGUAGUCGAGGCGAGUAGCCUCAGGUGAGCGAGAGAACUCUCGUUAAGGAACUCGGCAAAAUGACCCCGUAACUUCGGGAGAAGGGGUGCUGACUUUACGUCAGCCGCAGUGAAUAGGCCCAAGCAACUGUUUAUCAAAAACACAGCUCUCUGCUAAAUCGUAAGAUGAUGUAUAGGGGGUGACGCCUGCCCGGUGCUGGAAGGUUAAGAGGAGUGCUUAGAGGUAACUCGAAGGUAUGAAUUGAAGCCCCAGUAAACGGCGGCCGUAACUAUAACGGUCCUAAGGUAGCGAAAUUCCUUGUCGGGUAAGUUCCGACCCGCACGAAAGGCGUAAUGAUUUGGGCACUGUCUCAACGAGAGACUCGGUGAAAUUUUAGUACCUGUGAAGAUGCAGGUUACCCGCGACAGGACGGAAAGACCCCAUGGAGC